AAGUGUGUGCAUACCUCCUGCACUCCUCCUGGGAAACUGGCAUGCUCCAUUACCCCUCUGAAAUGCCUGUGCACCAAGGCACGCAGCAUGGGGAGUAAACAGGAGGAGUUAGAGGUCUGUGAGCACUCGCAGGGCCAUGACUUGGGUGCAGUUAGAGAUGUGGUGGGAUAGCUCGCAUGACUGGGGUGCUGUCAUGGCUGAACAUGUGUUUUAAUGAAAGACAGGCCUGCAAGAACUCUUUGCCAUGUGCUGUGUGAACAGAGCAAUCCAGUCAAGCUGCCAUCUGUAGUGCAGAGCAGAAGACUCACCCACAUGGAAUGAAGUAACUUCACCUGUGAUUCAAUUCUACACUGCGAGACCCAGCAGGGGGACCAAUGAAAACAUAAAGAAAUCUGCCUCUCAGGUGAGGUUCCUGGACCAACCCUAGAGCAGCUCAAUAGUGCAGUUUUAUGCCUCACUGUGUGGUCUUCAGAUUCUUCAGCUGCAAAGGUUUCAGGAUGGGCUCAUGAGCAUGUCUCAUGAGGAAAGAGAGCAAUCUUUCCCCAGUGCUGCCAAGAUCCAGCUCAGACUCACUGCAGGGCCUCUGCUGUGGAGAUGUGUGAGCUGGGGACAGCUCUACAGGGCCCGUAUUCUAUUCAGUUCAAAGGAGAUGGAUUUAAUUACAAAUGGUAUAAUUUGAAAAGAUUUUGUAAUUCAGAAAAGCUCUUAAAUAUCCUUGCUGGCUAACUACAUAAAUGAAUCUUUAUUGCAUCUCUUCAUCUUUGUAUGGCUGCAGGCUGUUUAACAAGGACCUCUGCUGUUCGUUUAAUUUAUUACACCCCCUUACACUUCACAUUUUUCCAAUUUUUUUUAAUGAGUUCUUGUUUUGUUGGGCUUUCACAACAUUUUUCCAUGUCCCCCGUGUGCUUACAUGCACCAACUAUAUGUUACAUUAAAAAAUUGCAAAUCCUUCAAUACCAGCUGCUGUAGUUAAUAAACUUGUAACUUUACCCCUGUUGAACUAUGUCAAAUCCCUGUAACAUCUGGCAUGUUUAAAUUUCUAUGCUAUUAAGGGUUGAAUUUUUAUUUAAAACUUCCAGAUAUGGAUCUGUCAAGAAUUUCUUUGCACUGUAGCUUCUUUAAACCCCUUAAACCACUUCUGUAACUGUGAAGAAUUUCAAUUGACAACUACCAAAUAUUUAUGGAUUUUUUUGUGUGUUUAAUUUGUUAUAUGGACAGUUUAAAAAAUAUUUUCUCUUUUGUUUUCUGAUCCACUGAGAAACCCAA